UACGUAGGGUGCAAGCGUUAUCCGGAAUUAUUGGGCGUAAAGAGCUCGUAGGCGAUUUGUCGCGUCUGCUGUGAAAACUGGAGGCUCAACCUCCAGCCUGCAGUGGGUACGGGCAGACUAGAGUGCGGUAGGGGAGAUUGGAAUUCCUGGUGUAGCGGUGGAAUGCGCAGAUAUCAGGAGGAACACCCGUGGCGAAGGCGGCUCUCUGGGACGGUACUGACGCUGAGACGCGAAAGCGUGGGGAGCGAACAGG
rnacentral:rRNA from 1 species